UCUAAGGUUCUGGCGUCUUGUUUGUCUGUCUGCAGGGCAGGGGCGGGUAUGGAGGUGCUCUGCCACAAGCUCUCCCCUGGGCCCUGAGCUUCCAGUUUUGAGUAAGUCAAGCAAGGACAGGUGACAGAAGAGUCUCCAUGCCACGGCCCAGUUGGCCAUCUCCGCCAAGGACCUAGGAUCACACGGGGACGGCUGCCACAGCUAAGGGGGAGGACAUGGACACGUGACAAAAGCCUGGCUGACCAGAGGCAGGGGAUGUUUACUGGGCUAAUACUGAGGGGCCUGGCUAAGUUGCUGAGGCUGGCCUCCAACUUGUGAUCCUCCCACCUCAGCCUCCUGAGUUGCUGGGAUUACAGACGUGCACCGCCCUGCCUGGCUAAGCUGCUCUUCUUUACUCGACGUGGCUGCCUGUGCUGCUUGGAAUUUCUGAACCGUCCUGCAACCUUGAGGGGGAAGCAUCCUCAUGGGCUGGGGAUGGCAGAGCCGGAGCAUGGAAAGCACCCAACUUUUCCAUGAUGUUAUUACUGCACUGUGACACCGACCCAACCCUCUGGCCCCUGGGCUCCCCAAACACGCACGACACCUGGUUGUUCAAGCCACUUUUCAGUGGAUCUCGGUUGUGACCCGAACACCUCUGUCUCCACCAUUCUUACUGGGCAGUGACCAGGACCCAAGACCCUGGGCAGCAGUCGAGGCUUCAAGGGUUUAAAUAAAAGACUUGCUGGACCCCAGCGAGACCGGGGAUUAGGAGAAGUUCCUUCCGAGGAAGUGAGUCUAUGCAGAGGAGGACGGGAGGUAAAAGCCACCCAGCAACACAGAGGGA